GACGAACGCUGGCGGCGUGCCUAAUACAUGCAAGUAGAACGCACAGUUUAUACCGUAGCUUGCUACACCAUAGACUGUGAGUUGCGAACGGGUGAGUAACGCGUAGGUAACCUGCCUGGUAGCGGGGGAUAACUAUUGGAAACGAUAGCUAAUACCGCAUAAUAUUAAUUAUUGCAUGAUAAUUAAUUGAAAGGUGCAAUUGCACCACUACCAGAUGGACCUGCGUUGUAUUAGCUAGUAGGUGAGGUAACGGCUCACCUAGGCGACGAUACAUAGCCGACCUGAGAGGGUGAUCGGCCACACUGGGACUGAGACACGGCCCAGACUCCUACGGGAAGCAGCAGUAGGGAAUCUUCGGCAAUGGACGAAAGUAUGACCGAGAAAAGCCGCGUGAGUGAAGAAGGUUUUCGGAUCGUAAAGCUCUGUUGUAAGAGAAGAACGGGUGUGAGAGUGGAAAGUUCACACUGUGUCGGUAUCUUACCAGAAAGGGACGGCUAACUACGUG
rnacentral:rRNA from 1 species